GCCUCCAGGCAGCUGGGAGGGACGAGACUCCCCUUCUGUCCCCACACCUCCGGGGGACAGCGGCAGCCUGGUCACCAUAUCUGCAGCUCCCCGCAGGCCCCCGCGGCCCCCGCCGCGGCCUCCGUAUCCGUAGGGGGUGACGGCAGACCCACCGCGAGCCCCAUCUUCCUCCGAGCCCAAGCGUGACUGUGUUGCUCAUCCUCAUCCACUCACCAGUGAGCGGCAGCUUCAUCUCCCAGACCUGUGACCUCACCUCCUGUGCAAAGGUCUCAAGCUAAAGAAAAACACUGGGAUGGAUCUGCACAGGGCCGGGCACCAUGACAUGCGACAUGACACUUCAGUUAGUGGCCAACUCUGUACUCUUUGUUUUGGUAUCACAACAUAAUUUUGUGAACUAACUCAUUUAUAAAUAACCCACUUCUGCUCUACCUCACUAAUGAUCCAAGGAAUGCAAACUAAGACAGAAGAUGUAGACCAGCCCCUUAUCAGCUGGGGGAAGAAUAUGGUAGGCGGGAGAACGAGUUGAUGCAGACUAUUAUGAGAACAAGUGUACCGUCUUGAUAAAAACUUCAAAAUCUGCAUUCGCUUGGUCCCACAAAGCACGCCCAGGAAUCCGAGGUAAUAAAAGUUGCACAUAGGCCCAGAGAUGUUUGCAGGGGAGCAGCUUUUCUAACGGCCAGAUACUGGAAGCCACCAAGAUGUCCAUCAGCAGAAGCCCCAGCUGCCCGUGAAUACACACCCUGGGAGGCAGAUGGAGGCUCAAGAAGAAAGUGGAAACAGUUUGAGCUGCUGGGCUCAGGCUGGUUGUUGGUGAACAGACACUCGAACCCCUUCAGGUUGACAGGCAGACAGAGACAGAGACAGAGAUGGACAAGAGAUCUUCCAUUUGCAACAACCAGGGCUAUGACCAGCAACAGACAGGGAUGGACCAGGAUGAAGCCAGGAGCCAGGAGCCAGGAAUACAAUCCUGGGUCUUCUACACCUGCUGCCUCCCAGGGUGCACAUCAGCAAGAAGUUAGAAUUGAAGGCAGAGCCAGGACUCAAACCCAGGCACUCUGAUGCGAUGCAGGUGUCAGGCGUCCCAAGCGGUGCCUUCACUGCUAAUACCAAAUGCCUGCUCUAAGAUCAUGUUUUUAAUGUGCAAAUGUUUCUGCUGCAAGUAAAACCAUUACUUCCAAAAGAAAUAACUAAUUUUGCCAGCGCUGCGGCUCAAUAGGCUAAUCCUCUGCCUUGCGGCGCCGGCACACCGGGUUCUAGUCCCGGUCAGGGCACCGAUCCUGUCCUGGUUGCCCCUCUUCCAGUUCAGCUCUCUGCUGUGGCCCAGGAGUGCAGAGGAGGAUGGCCCAAGUCCUUGAGCCCUGUACCCGUAUGGGAGACCAGGAGAAGCACCUGGCUCCUGGCUUUGGAUCAGCACGGUGCGCCGGCCGCAGCAGCCAUUGGAGGGUGAACCAACGGAAACGGAAGACCUUUCUGUCUCUCUCUCACUGUCCACUCUGCCUGUCAAAAAAAAAAAAAAAAAAAAAAAAAAAAAAAAAAAAAAGGAAGAAAGAAAGAAAGAAAUAACUAAUUUUCCCCUUUCCCUUACAUUGUAGACCAUUACAUCUGUUUUUCAAGAGUUUUAGGUUUUGUUUUUUUUUUUUUUUUUUUUUUUUUUUUUUUAAGAUUUAUUUGGCUGCAAUGGCCAGGGGUGGGCCAGACUGAAGAAAGGAGCCAGGAGCCUCCUCUAGGUCUUCCACAUGGGUGCAGGGGCUCAAGUACUUGAGCCAUCCUCUGCUGCUUUCCCAGACGCAUUAGCAGGGAGCUGGACCAGAAGGGAAGCACCCGGGCCUUGAACCAGUGUCCAUAUAGGAUGCCAGUGCUGCAGGCAGCAGCCUAACCCGUUAUGCCACAGUGCUGGCACCCCAGACCAUCACACUUUUAUCAUCUGCUUUUAUUAUAGUACGGGUUUAGCUAUACUUAGUACCAUGAAGACAGUGGACUCUAAUCAACCAGCUGGGAUCAAAAUCUACCUGAGAGGUUUCCAGAGAACCUCAGCCCAUUAAACAAUAGAAUCAUCUACAAGUAUCCAUGCUAAAAGCAGGACCUCAGGUUGUCCUCAUUUUAUAGCUGGUGAUGCUGGUUCAGAGAAGUGAAAUAACUUACUCAAUGUCACACAGCAAGGACUCAAGCACAGGCCAUCUGGCUUUGAAGACAGCAUUUCCAACCACCGUGCCAGCAUUUGGGUUGGCACCAUACACAGGGAGCCACCCGAACACCAAAAGGUUCUCAGCAGGCCUUGGCCUUAUCAAGUGGACCCCUCAGCAACGGGAGCACCACAUCCAAGACAGAGAACUUGCCCCCGAGGAGCUCACCUGAGCUGGCGAGGAAAGGCAUACACACACACACACACACACCUGAGCUGGCGAGGAAAGGCAUACACACACACACACACACCUGAGCUGGCGAGGAAAGGCAU